rnacentral:rRNA from 1 species
GGUUCAAUCCAGCAUAGCCCAUUUUAUAUAAGGGAAUAUAGCUCAAUUGCGGUAGAGCAUUGCUCUUGCACAGCAAAAGUUAGCGGUUCAAACCCGCUUAUUUCCACUAAAUAUUAUAUAUUGCAUAGGGUGGAAUCCUAGGUAUCUAGAGUCGAAGAAGGGCGUAUUAUGUUUACGAUAAGCUUAAAUUAGAUUAAUUUUUUUAAGAUCCCCUAAUAGGAUAACCUAAAAAAAAUUUAGAAAUAAAUUUUUUUUAUUUUCUUUUGAAUUCAUAAAAAAGAAAAUGAAAACUCAGUGAACUGAAUCAUCUUAGUAACUGAAGGAAAAGAAAGCAAUAGCGAUUUCCUUAGUAGUGGUGAGCGAAAAGGAACUAGCCUAAAAAAAAAUCUUUUUUCUUUCUUUUAAAAAAUAAUUAAACAUUAUGCCAUAGAUGGUUAAAAGCCCAGUAAUUAAAAGAAGAAACAAUGAGAUAAUAUUAUUUCAUUUAUAGAUCAUUUUUUAAAGUAGUAUAGGAGAAAACCUGUACAAAAAAAUAA